rnacentral:rRNA from 1 species
UACGUAGGGGGCAAGCGUUGUCCGGAAUCAUUGGGCGUAAAGAGCGUGUAGGCGGUCCGGUAAGUCCGCUGUGAAAGUCGGGGGCUCAACCCUCGAAUGCCGGUGGAUACUGUCGGGCUAGAGUGCGGAAGAGGCGAGUGGAAUUCCUGGUGUAGCGGUGAAAUGCGCAGAUAUCAGGAGGAACACCUAUUGCGAAGGCAGCUCGCUGGGACGUAACUGACGCUGAGACGCGAAAGCGUGGGAGCAAACAGG